rnacentral:lncRNA from 1 species
CUGGCAGGCGGAGGUUGCAGUGAGCCGAGAUUGCGCCACUGCACUCCAGCCUGGGCGACAGAGCGAGACUCCAUCUCAAAAAAAAAAAAAAAAAAAAAAGAGAUUAGGGCACAGACAUAUAUAUAGAGAGAACAAUGUGAAGACACGGGGAGAGGACCGCUGUCUGGAAGCCAAGGAGAGAGGCUCAGAAGAAACCAGCCCUGCUGACGCGUUGAUCUUGGACUUCUAGCAUGCAGCCUGUGGCAUUUUGUUAUGGCAGCACUAGAAAGUAUGGUGGUUUUUUCCCUAACACCCUGCAGAGAGCUGGAGGGGAGAGGAAGAAGGUAGGUCUGCUCGUUAGAGAAUUUUUCCACUUUCUAUGGCUUACAGAGACCACAGGUAUCUCAGGCAUCUUAGGAGCUGUGAGGCUUGGGAGUUGUGGAUGAGCAGAAGCAGGGCCAUAGGUGCUUCUGGUAAGAGGUAUUAGACAAAAAGGUUAAUGCCGUAAUCUAUACAUAUUGACCUCAAAAUGUGGCCACAACAUAUAUUUCUGAAAAAAAGAAAAGCAGGUU